UGGGAGGGAGGAGUAACAAAAGUGAAGACAAAAAUUAAAAACUGAAAUCUAUUUUAAAUUGUUUUCACUUUCAAGUUUUUGUUUUUACUUUUGUUACUCCUCCCUCCCAUCCUCUCCUCU
rnacentral:miRNA from 1 species